ACAAAGCCCCCCCCCCCCUUUCGAGAUGAAAAACAUGGCCAAAGCUCAUUUGCCUGAUACGUAAAUUUCAGGGAGGGAGUCGGGGGAGUAAGUUCCCUUCGAAAAAAUAUCGAAGUCGAAAUGAACCAAAAUCCACUCCCUCUACACGUGACGACCCGAUUUCGAAAGCUACGCGUCUCGAGUGAGAAUGCGUAGUCACGAAAAAAGAUUUGCAAAAUAAUUGAAUAAUCCCGUCUUUAUUAUCUCAUCACGUGACUGGUACGUGCGAACCCGCAGACUUUCCUCCUCGGAAAUUUCCCGGCGCUCACAUUUCAAAAACAACCCCUUUAGACAAUAGAAACGGGUGCAUUGUCCCAAGCUACACAAAAAAGGGGUAAGCAGGUAAAGCCCAUUCGGACAUCUCCCCAUUUUCAGUUGAAAUCGACCAUGGGCCCCUGCGGCUUGACAUCAGUUUAACUUUAGAACAGCCUAUGACUAGUAGUAAAAGUUCCCUGAUUUGCGCGACUGUAACAACGCAGAUUAACAUCUCUCAGAUGCCCGUCUCUACCCUUACAUUAAAAUUUGCAAAAAUUACCCGGACAGCGACUUUCGGAGGAUUCCUCGAAGACGCGACAGUAUUUGCGUUUCUGAUUUCAGCCUAGCACAUCCAGAAAAAAUUGAAACCUCAGCGCAGAAAACCCGUCGAUGAUUGCAGGAAAACUUCAUAAUUUCGAAGGAAUAAGGAUCAAAAUUAACAUGAACAAAACACAGGCUCUGUUUCAAGAAGUCAAGUUAGUUUUCUAACUGGCAACGGAUCCUUGGGGAAAGAAAUCCAACGCGGUCGAAUGCGGUUCUCUUCACCAAAAAGCACUCAAACUUUUUCAAAGAAUAACAGAAAAUCGAACGUGGUUGAAAUGUGGACGAUUUUCAAAGUCUCGCACCUACACAGACACGAAUAAAAAAGAGCAUAUUGCAGAUUCAAAUUCACGAAAUAGUUGCGACAUGCAAUACAGGAAAAAAAGCUUAACAACCAUUUCAUAAUAUUGAAAAGAGUAGUCGACUGAAAUUCUAAAGCAAUUGCAAAAAAUAAUAAUAACGCGUUCCCGAGUUUACUGAAUUUUUGAGCGCAAGCCACGAAAUAAUACUCUGGUUUGAUCCGAGGUUGAUUGAAGCCACGAGAGCCUUGAAUUGCAUUCCCGAAAACGUAUCCGAGUUAAUUAAAGAUUCCUGGGAAAUACUUUCCGGAAAAAAUGAGAUUCUAAAGAGGACUUCUAGAGCUUUGGUCAACCUAUUUGAUUUCAAAAUCCCCUCGGUUUUUGAAUACUCAAGUCCUGUGGGUAGAAAACCCCAAAGAUGAAUUUAGAGACCAUUCUUCUAGACUCCUCUCUACUAUUUCAGAAGAUACUGAACGAAAAAUUUUGAAAAAGCGAGACCACCCUUAUGAAAACAGAACUUGCUGAAGAUUCCUAAUCACGGCAUUUGAAAGUUUCUCAGAGUUUCAAAUUCUCUCUCCAACGUAUUCAAACGGGUGUGUUUACUUUCAAAAUUCAUCCAUUCAGAAAAGAGAAAAAAAAAGUAUUCUGAACUUAAAAGGUGAAACAGAAACUCAAUUAACAUUUAGAACGCACACCAAAUGAGAUACAGCCCACGUCUUGAUGAAAGCUUUAAAAUAACAAAGUACAUAAGACCUCAAGACAAGGGAAGGGUUGGAACGUCGAACACAUAGGUUACACAAAUAGUUAUAUUACAUCUGCCCCGAGCUGACUCCCUUGAACUUGAGAGAAAAAACUCAGAUAGUUGAACAACAAAAGCAAAUCCUCGGAACUACUAAUACUCAAUCGAAAACGUAAUGAAAAUACAUUAAAAGCUGCAGGGUGAUCAGAAAGAUUCGCCGAGGUGAUGAAACGAAACGUAUUACUAGGACAACGUAGGAAAUUUACGAGGAGGGACGAAAAACUCGCGCCCGAAGACUUCAAAAAAUACUUCCUCUACCCUAGGGGAGCAAGAAAGUAAAAUUUACCACAGAAUGGGGAUGAAAUUUUAGAGUUAGAGUCGUAAAUGAAUGAUCGGUUGAUAUGAAGGCGAUCGUGCAUAGGAACUUGGAAGAUUUAGCAAAGUACGCGAGCUGAGAAGCAACAGGCUUGAAUGAAAUACCUGCCCCUUGCAAAGGCGGUCGGUUCGUAACGGAAAAUUCAAAUCGAAAAGUACGUUAGGUUGCGAAACGGUUAGUUUGGGAGGAAGGCAGAGUCAGUAACAGAAUCAAAAUAACAUAGUAAUUGAGGUAAUAGUUGGGUGAAAAUCCGUGAAAUAAGAUAAGGUAUUAAUAUUAUAGAAUAAAAUGCAAAGGAACAGUACCUCUUCUGUGACAUCUCUGGGAAGAUGCUUGAUCAGCAGCUGUCUGUUGAGAUGAAACUGAUGCUUCGCCCGAAGAAUUUCCUUCCGGAUCUUCUCCUCUGGUUCAUCAUCAUCCCAAAGGCUUCCGUGCUAGCCGUGGCGAGAAUUUGGGAAUCAUCCCAAAACUUGUGAUCAUCACUUUUCAACAGGUUACCACCAAAACACGCCAACGAAAUGUUGUCUGGUUCUGCAGACAUAA
rnacentral:lncRNA from 1 species